rnacentral:rRNA from 1 species
UACGAAGGGGGCUAGCGUUGUUCGGAAUUACUGGGCGUAAAGCGCAUGUAGGCGGAUAUUUAAGUCAGGGGUGAAAUCCCGCAGCUCAACUGCGGAACUGCCUUUGAUACUGGGUAUCUUGAGUAUGGAAGAGGUGAGUGGAAUUCCGAGUGUAGAGGUGAAAUUCGUAGAUAUUCGGAGGAACACCAGUGGCGAAGGCGGCUCACUGGUCCAUUACUGACGCUCAGGUGCGAAAGCGUGGGGAGCAAACAGG